rnacentral:rRNA from 1 species
AGAGUUUGAUCAUGGCUCAGGACGAACGCUGGCGGCGCGCCUCAUACAUGCAAGUCGAGCGUGAAGCGGGACUUCGGUCCCGUGGAAAGCGGCGAACGGGUGCGUAACACGUGAGCAACCUGCCCCAAAGACUGGGAUAACCCGGGGAAACCCGGGCUAAUACCGGAUGUCCUCCUCCGAUCGCAUGAUGGGAAGAGGAAAUGUUCAGGCGCUUUGGGAUGGGCUCGCGGUCUAUCAGCUUGUUGGUGGGGUAACGGCCUACCAAGGCGACGACGGAUAGCUGGUCUGAGAGGACGAUCAGCCACACUGGGACUGAGACACGGCCCAGACUCCUACGGGAGGCAGCAGUAGGGAAUCUUGCGCAAUGAGGGAAACCUUGACGCAGCGACGCCGCGUGCGGGAUGAAGGCCUUCGGGUUGUAAACCGCUUUCAGCAGGGACGAAAUUGACGGUACCUGCAGAAGAAGGCCCGGCCAACUACGUGCCAGCAGCCGCGGUA